GCCUACGGGAGGCUGCAGUGGGGAAUAUUGCGCAAUGGGCGAAAGCCUGACGCAGCGACGCCGCGUGAGGGAUGACGGCCUUCGGGUUGUAAACCUCUUUCAGCAGGGACGAAUUGUGACGGUACCUGCAGAAGAAGCACCGGCUAACUACGUGCCAGCAGCCGCGGUAAUACGUAGGGUGCAAGCGUUGUCCGGAUUUAUUGGGCGUAAAGAGCUCGUAGGCGGUUUGUCGCGUCGGAUGUGAAAACUUGGGGCUUAACCCUAAGCCUGCAUUCGAUACGGGCAGACUAGAGGAUGGCAGGGGAGACUGGAAUUCCUGGUGUAGCGGUGGAAUGCGCAGAUAUCAGGAGGAACACCGGUGGCGAAGGCGGGUCUCUGGGCCAUUACUGACGCUGAGGAGCGAAAGCGUGGGGAGCAAACAGGAUUAGAUACCCUGGUAGUC
rnacentral:rRNA from 1 species